CCACAGUACAUUAAGCUCAUGAAUAAUACUUCAAAUAAAAAAAUUGAUAAAACGGUACAAAACUCAUGAAUAAUACUUCUGAACAGAUUGAUCGGAGGCAAGAAAAACUGACCGAAAAUAAACAGAACCAGCACCGGAGUUUCGAGCGUUAACCUGGAAAACUCGACGACCACGCCGGAAAACCUUGAACGGAAACCUCUAAUCGAAGCUCCAAGCAACGAGCUUCAACUCGACAGAUCUCGACAUAGUCUCAAGCGCAAAUUAUUUAUAUUAUGAUAGGACGCUGGACUGAGUUUUGAAUCGGAAAAAUACUAAUGUUUAAUGGGCGAAAGGAAGAUGAUGCUGUAGUGUCUACGCGAGGUUCUAGUGGUGGUUUCAGCUCAUUUUCCGGCGAGCUUGUUACUGUUUCUGCUCGAUUUCCGGAGAACUAUGGUGGUCUCGAUAGCUUUCGCUGCCUGAGUUUUGGAGAGGAUGAAGCGACGGGGGUGUCGUUUGGUCGAAGAAGAAGAGUGAUGGGGUCUUCGGUGGUGUUCUGUUUUGGAGUUCAGCCGCUGAAGAAGACGACUAACGGGAGGGUCCGAUUUUUUCAGACCUGCGGCUC
rnacentral:lncRNA from 1 species